rnacentral:lncRNA from 1 species
GUGGUCCCAAGCUGGGUCGGAAAACCUGUGUGAUCACAGGGAGACCCUUUGAGAAGUCCCCCUUCAACCAAGAGCUAAAACUGAUAGGCAAGUAUGGCCUCCAGAGCAAACGUGACAUCUGAAGGGUUAAAUUUACCCUGGACAAGAUCUGCAGGGCUGCCCAGGAGCUGCUGAUGCUUGUUGAGAAGGACCCAUGGCAUCUGUUUGAAGGCAGUGCCCUGCUGUGGUGACUUAUUCACAUCAGAGUGCGGUACAGGGGCAGAAUGAAACUAGAUUGCAUCCUAGGCCUGAAGAUUGAGGCUUUCUUGCAGAGAUGACUGCAGACCCAGCUCUUCAAGCCAGGAGUGACCAAGUCCAGUCAUCAUGCCCCUGUGCUGAUCCACUAGCACCAUAUCUAGGUCUGCAGGUGGUGAACAUCCUGUCUGUCCUUCAUUGACUGCCUGGACUCCCAGAAGCACGGCAAUUUCUCUCUUUGUUCUUUGUUUGGCAGUGGUCGCCUGGGCCUCCUGAAGAGAAGAAUUCCAAGAAGGGCCAGGGUGGGGCUGGAGUGCCCCUGGAGAUAACCAAGAGGAGGGUUAA